rnacentral:rRNA from 1 species
GUUGAACGCUGGCGGCAUGCCUUACACAUGCAAGUCGAACGGCAGCACGGGUGCUUGCACCUGGUGGCGAGUGGCGAACGGGUGAGUAAUACAUCGGAACAUGUCCUGUAGUGGGGGAUAGCCCGGCGAAAGCCGGAUUAAUACCGCAUACGAUCUACGGAUGAAAGCGGGGGACCUUCGGGCCUCGCGCUAUAGGGUUGGCCGAUGGCUGAUUAGCUAGUUGGUGGGGUAAAGGCCUACCAAGGCGACGAUCAGUAGCUGGUCUGAGAGGACGACCAGCCACACUGGGACUGAGACACGGCCCAGACUCCUACGGGAGGCAGCAGUGGGGAAUUUUGGACAAUGGGCGAAAGCCUGAUCCAGCAAUGCCGCGUGUGUGAAGAAGGCCUUCGGGUUGUAAAGCACUUUUGUCCGGAAAGAAAUCCUUGGCUCUAAUACAGUCGGGGGAUGACGGUACCGGAAGAAUAAGCACCGGCUAACUACGUG